rnacentral:lncRNA from 10 species
AACAAAUCGCCUUGCAGACAAGUCUCAACACAGAACACAUGCUGCUUAUCACUGGCAAAGACUUGCAUCAGCCUGCCACCACGGCUGGCUCAUCUUGUCCCUCCAGGCCUGUGCCUGCUGGAACACUCCCACUCCCCAUGUCUGAAUACACCACUUCGGUUGGACCAAGAGUUUCCAGCUCGGGUGGCCCCUCCUUCCCUGGAAAUAAAUAGCUGCCUAUAGAAUAUCAGAGUCAUUCUGACUCAGGGGUGACUCAGCUCUUCCAUGACCUGUGUUCCCACUUCUCCUUGAUAAGGCCAAUGUUUUGGCCCUACUGGUGAAAAUAUGUAGACCUAACAUCUAUCUCCCUGCUCCAGUUUCAAGAGAAAAGACCUUAUUCAGAGAAAUAUUUAGAAGACUCUUGUGGAAUUCUUGCUGCAGGGAGGAACUUGGAUUGUCCUUCAGUAAAAUUCCACUUUGAUGCGCAAAGCGAACUUGAAUUUCUGCUUGGCCUACCACAGGCCUGCAACAUGCACUUUCUCCUCGAGGGAACUGCCACUCACUGACACGGACAACAGUAAAGGAACUUGGUCUUCACUAUGCCUCAUAGUGGUGGGUCACACUGCCCAGGAGGAACCCGCAAUGAGACCGGCAAAUGCCUUAACCAUCUCAUUGUCUCAUCAGGAAGAAGCUUAAAUGACUCUUCUUGCUCACAUACUUCCUGGGCAAACAUGUCUGCUCUGUUGGGAUAAAGGACGCUCUAGACCAGGCUCUGCUGAAAGAUCCAGGGCAAAGGUUCCUGACAAGACUAUGUCCAGCCUCAAAUAAGGCCACAGAAGAGCCCAGGCUCGCUGACGAGCACCGGCUCCGAGGCAGUCACAUCAGGAGACAGAAACAGACAUGUUGGUGCUGCCCUCUCAGGUCAGUGCAAAUGCCACUUGAGGAGGGCUGAGAGCUUUGCAGCAUAAAAUGACCAGAACAAGGAGAAACACAGAUGCAAUGGCAAUAGCUGGCAAUUCGCACAUGGCGUCAAACACCACUGCCACAGAAGCUUUUUAGCUACAAGCCACGCUAUGCAACCUUUAAGCAAAACAUUAUUGAUUUUGUGGUUGUAAAAACAUACCUUCAACUGCAGAACUCAGUUUUAUGACACCUUGAAUAAAAACAAAAAGUGGCAGUUAUAUAAUGGACCCAAAUCGCCUUUUCCAGGCUUCUCAUAACACACGCAUGCUUCAGAUUUGGAUUUUUCUUUUUCUGCUGGCAUUGCAAGAACGUAACUAAACAAAUAUCAACUUCAAAAAUAAAAUAAUUUUUAGUCUUAACUAGGUCUCAUGGAUGUCUUCUUUUCCCCCACUAAAACCAUUUGGGGAAAUUUUUCACUAAAAAUGGGAUCAAACAUGUUUUUGGAUGGGACAAAGGCCAAGUCUGCCUGAGUGACUAUUUCUGUGUAUAAAUUAUACCAGAUUAUGGAUCAAUAAAAGUUCACACAAUAGGAUGCUAGGGACCAGCACUUCCUCUUUGAUACUGUAUCUAGAGAUCAUCUGAUGCAUGUUAGGACAGAGUUUCUGUUGAAACAUGUAACAGGUGGUUAAAAACCAUGGUGUGAUCUGGUAACUUUCUUCUCUGGGGUGGUUGGGCCAGAGCCCUUUUCUUGGUCUGAUGGGUUUAGAUUUCAGCUCCCUCAAGUCAGAGAGUGAACGGGUUAUCUGAGCAAGUCAAGUUGUUCAUGAAGCAAGUCAGUACCCUUGACUGAUAUUUAUGCACCUUUGCAGUGAAUUUUUUUUUUUUUUGAGACAGAGUCUCGCUCUGUCACCCAGGCUGGAGUGCAGUGGCGCAAUCUCGGAUCUUGGAUCUCGGCUCACUGCAACCUCUGCCUCCUGGGUGGACGCCAUUCUCCUGCCUCAGCCUCCCGAGUGGCUGGGACUACAGGCGCCCGCCAGCACGCCCGGCUAAUUUUUUGUAUUUUUAGUAGAAACAUGGUUUCACUGUA